GCCCCGCGUCUGAUUAGCUGGUUGGCGGGGCAGCGGCCCACCAAGGCGACGAUCAGUAGCCGGCCUGAGAGGGCGGACGGCCACAUUGGGACUGAGACACGGCCCAGACUCCUGCGGGAGGCAGCAGUGGGGAAUAUUGCACAAUGGGGGAAACCCUGAUGCAGCGACGCCGCGUGAGCGAAGAAGUAUUUCGGUAUGUAAAGCUCUAUCAGCAGGGAAGAAGAAAGUGACGGUACCUGACUAAGAAGCUCCGGCUAAAUAC
rnacentral:rRNA from 1 species